rnacentral:rRNA from 1 species
AUUGAACGCUGGCGGAAUGCUUUACACAUGCAAGUCGAACGGCAGCACGGACUUCGGUCUGGUGGCGAGUGGCGAACGGGUGAGUAAUACAUCGGAACGUGCCCAGUCGUGGGGGAUAACGUAGCGAAAGCUACGCUAAUACAGCAUACGAUCUCCGGAUGAAAGCGGGGGAUCGCAAGACCUCGCGCGAUGGGAGCGGCCGAUGGCAGAUUAGGUAGUUGGUGGGGUAAAGGCUCACCAAGCCGACGAUCUGUAGCUGGUCUGAGAGGACGACCAGCCACACUGGGACUGAGACACGGCCCAGACUCCUACGGGAGGCAGCAGUGGGGAAUUUUGGACAAUGGGCGCAAGCCUGAUCCAGCCAUUCCGCGUGCAGGAUGAAGGCCCUCGGGUUGUAAACUGCUUUUGUACGGAACGAAAAGGCUCUGGUUAAUACCCGGGGCUCAUGACGGUACCGUAAGAAUAAGCACCGGCUAACUACGUGCCAGCCGCCGCUGUAA